UGUAUGCACUCACUAAAUGUAAGUCGCUCUGGAUAAGAGCGUCUGCUAAAUGACUUAAAUGUAAAUGCAGUGAUCUGUAUCCAGGAUCUGUGUCGGACAAAGCCAUUGUCCAGAAGACUGGGUUUGAGAACAUCUUCACAUCUGGAGACAUGAUUUUGGCAGACAAAGGCUUCUUGAUCCAUAGCAUGAUGCCUGCAGGAGUCACUGUGAACAUUCCUCCAUUCCUGAACCACGGAAGGUUAACAGAGUGCGAUACAUCUCACAAAAGAAAUGGCGAGAAACAGGAUCCAUGUUGAGAGGGCAAAUGCUUGACUAAAAUAUUUUAAAAUCAUGAGAUGAAUCCCACCUUAUCUGCGUUGUUAUAGUAAUGUGCUGGUGCAGACUUGCAAACCUCCAAGACCCACUCAUCAGAGAAGUAGCUGUUGAUUGGGAAACAAGAACAAACAAUGAGGCAUGAGGCUUGAAUGUUGAGGGACCACUUGUCACAUUGUCCAAGGUGGGUUUAUGUUAUGAUAAACAAUGCAUUUUCUAGAUAAAGGUGGUUUGAAAAAGACCCACCACUGAGUGCAUCCCUCAGACCAUCUGAUGCAUGGACAUCCUGUGGCAGUGUGGUCAGAGCGCAAGCGUCCAGUUGUGGAGACCACAGCACAUCGAGCAUGUGGACGAACAGACAUGAGGUGUGACAUGCAGAACAUCAGGCUCACCCCACGAGAAGCAGUGCAUUAUCAACACCACCCUCAGCAAGGAGAUCUGCUGGAAGUGAUGUCUCUCCCAUCCUGCAUUUACCAGAAAAGGAAGCUCCACACAACAAAGGGGGUAAGAAAUAAUUUAAACAUCACAGAUAUAAAUUCCCACUGUGCCCAUGAUAAAAUGCAAUGUGAAUUGUGUUGUACUACUGAAUGAAACUGAUUUUGAUUGAAUUUACGUUAACUACAUUAAUUUAGUUGGCUGCUUUGAGCAAAACUUGUAUGUAAUAUAACAUUCUGGGAGCCUAGUGUGUGUGCUUAUGAACUAUGUGGAAUAUUUUUGGACCAUUGGCUUCCCUGAAAACAGGUACUGACAGGAGGUGCGACAAGAACGCUUAUCCAGUGCAACCCCCCCAAAAAAAAACGAUUUGUGCAAAAACUAUUUACAAGAUGUUUAGAUGUUCACUGUUGCAGUGCCAAUUUUGGGAGCAUGUGGUCCUUGAAAAACUCCUCUAGUCCAGCAAUAUGAGUCUGCCAGAGUUUGUCACACUAGAUGGAGAUGGAGGCUUUGGCGGUCCACACAACGAAGAAGCAGGUGUCCCUUCUAGUGAUGUGGAGUUGACCUUGGACCUGGUGCCAGUAAGGAUGGUCUUCACGGAGACUGUAAGACCCUCCCUCCUUGAUAUAGAAAUCCUUCGACUUCACUGCCUCUUCAAUGGGAAGGUCCCUUGCACCAUAGGGACACUUGCAGUGGUGCCCACCAGACCAUCCAGUGAGGCACCCAGGAUCCCAGACCCUGUGACUCAAAGCCCUGACACCGGCACAUCCAUCCCUGUAGCCAUUUGAAUGCCUUGAUGCCCUCCUCUUCGUUAUCUGUGCCCCACUUUACAGACAACACCCCAUCCAAUGACUGAACACCUUGAAAUGCAUUUGUUGUAAGAAAUGUGCUAUAUAAAUCAAGUUUUAUUUGAUUGACAUUACAGCUGUAGAAUAUUUAAUAAACUAAUUUUCACAUGA